UGGUCGGGCAUUGCCCGUCCAUGCCCAACCCUGCUGCCGUCUAUGUUUUAAGGGAUAUGAACACAGUCAAAAAUAAUUAGUUAAAAAUCAUUGUCCUCAUUAUGUUGAUAGGUAGCAUCACUUGAUUGGUGUAAAGGUCCUGAUAGAGGUCUGCCCUGUCCUGAUGUUAUAUUCUACUUUCAUCUCUCAUCAGAGGAAGCACUCAAGAGAUCAGGAUAUGGAGAAGAGAGAUACGAGAAGAAGUCAUUCCAAGAGGAGGUUGCUAGAGUCUAUGAGAAACUAAGAGAUGGUAGUUGGUUUGAUGUAGAUGCUUCUAAUUCAAUUGAUGAAAUACAUAAACAACUCUGGGACAAAACAUCAAGUCUCCUUAGUACUAUCAAUAACAAAGAAAUAGGAAAACUCUGGACGUAACAAUUAUAGCAAUAUUUAUUAUAGUAAUAUUUUAAGAUAUUUAAUUGGGUGAAUCCCUGACAGGCAAUGUGGCUUUUUGUUUGUCGUUACUGGACAUGACAAGGGGGAAAACCCCUUAAUGUUUUA